ensembl:misc_RNA
AAGACUUCACAAUGGUUUGAUAACCAUGUGCAGGAUGCUGAUUUGAGACUCUUCCAAUUCUCUAGUAACCUCACUGGGCCACGCAGGGCUCAAUAUACCUCUUCACCAGUGGCAUAGUUUCUGAUCGAGCUUGGUGUCACC